GUCGAGGGGUAACAGGGAGUGCUUGCACUCCGCUGACGACCGGCGCACGGGUGCGCACCGCGUAUGGAACCUGCCUCUUGCAGGGGAAUAGCCCAGGGAAACUUGGAUUAAUGCCCCGUAGUAUCAUUACACCGCCUGGUGUUUUGAUUAAAGGCUUCGGCCGGCAAGAGAUGGCCAUGCGUCCCAUUAGUUAGAUGGUAAGGUAACGGCUUACCAUGACUACGAUGGGUAGGGGCCCUGAGAGGGGGAUCCCCCACACUGGUACUGAGACACGGACCAGACUCCUACGGGAGGCAGCAGUGAGGAAUAUUGGACAAUGGAGGAGACUCUGAUCCAGCCAUGCCGCGUGCAGGAAGACGGCCCUAUGGGUUGUAAACUGCUUUUAUACGGGAAGAAAAAGGGCUACGUGUAGCCCCCUGACGGUACCGUAAGAAUAAGGACCGGCUAACUCCGUGCCAGCAGCCGCGGUAAUACGGAGGGUCCGAGCGUUAUCCGGAAUUAUUGGGUUUAAAGGGUCCGUAGGCGGGCCAUUAAGUCAGUGGUGAAAGUCUGCAGCUCAACUGUAGAAUUGCCUUUGAUACUGGUGGUCUUGAGUUAUGGUGAAGUGGCUGGAAUAUGUAGUGUAGCGGUGAAAUGCAUAGAUAUUACAUAGAACACCGAUUGCGAAGGCAGGUCACUAACCAUAUACUGACGCUGAUGGACGAAAGCGUGGGGAGCGAACAGGAUUAGAUACCCUGGUAGUCCACGCCGUAAACGAUGGAUACUAGCUGUCCGGGUCCUUGAGACCUGGGCGGCCAAGCGAAAGUGAUAAGUAUCCCACCUGGGGAGUACGUUCGCAAGAAUGAAACUCAAAGGAAUUGACGGGGGCCCGCACAAGCGGUGGAGCAUGUGGUUUAAUUCGAUGA
rnacentral:rRNA from 1 species